CUGAAAUACGUUCAAAAAACAGUCAAAAAGCGGA
rnacentral:sRNA from 1 species